AUUGAACGCUGGCGGCAGGCCUAACACAUGCAAGUCGAGCGAGCGGCGGGCGGGGGAGUGAUGUAUCGGGAAAUGCCCGCUAGAGGGGGGUAACUACUGGAGACAGUGGCUCAUACCCCAUACGGUCGGGUGAACCCAUAUGGGAUUAGCUAGUAGGUAAGGUAAUGGCUUACCUAGGCGACGAUCCCUCGCUGGUCUGAGAGGAUGAUCAGCCACACUGGGACUGAGACACGGUCCAGACUCCUACGGGAGGCAGCAGUGGGGAAUAGUGCACAAUGGGCGCAAGCCUGAUGCAGCCAUGCCGCGUGUAUGAAGAAGGCCCUAGGGUUGUAAAGUACUUUCAGCCGGGAGGCGUUACCGGCAGAAGAAGCACCGGCUAACUCCGUGCCAGCAGCCGCGGUAAUAC
rnacentral:rRNA from 1 species